GAGACAGUCUAAAUGAACACAAUUAGAAAUGACAAAGUGUAUGUUACCACUGACCCCACAGAAAUAUAAACAACCGUCAGAGACUAUUAUAAAUACCUCUAUGCAUACAAACUAGAAAACCUAGAAGAGAUGGAAAAUUCCUGGAAAAAUAUACCUGGUUUUCUAUUCCUGUGUUAGUUUGCUGAGCAUGAUGGCUUCCAGCUUCAUCAAUAUCACUGCAAAGGACAUGAUCUCAUUCAUUUUUAUGGCUGCAUAGUAUUCCAUGGUGUGCAUUUA
rnacentral:lncRNA from 10 species